GAAUGAAGGAAGCAUGGUAGUGUGCAUUGAAAUUGAUUUGGGCCUCUAAGCGCCCUCGCUGAUACCUUUCGGCUUUGAUUUGGGGGCAUGGUUCCGUAGCAAAACU